GUUUUUAUAGCUUAAAAAUAAAGCAUAGCACUGAAGAUGCUAGGAUAAACUUAUGUUUUAAAGACA
rnacentral:tRNA from 1 species